CUGUUAAGUCAUAAGAUAAAAAAAAUUCCCCGAAAUUAUGUAUCAGUUCCAGCAUACUCUUCAAAAGAUUUAUGCGCAUUUGGUUCCCCGUUAUCACGACACCCCUACAUGUUCCUCACACAUUCAUAUUUAUAUGCAAAUUUAUGUGGUUACUUUUUAUUCACUUCUAUUAAUUCUAAGACCAUUAUAUAUCUUUGCAUACAAAAACUCACCAUCACACAAAAAGUUGUUACAUAUUCCCUAAAUCCGAUUUAAUAUGCAACUGUUAAUAUAAAUAUUUGCGUACGUGUGCCUCCGCAUGAAUUCAGAAUAUUAUAAGUCCCACGCUUGGCAACUCAACAAUUUUUUUCUAGUUGAAUUGAAUUCGAAUAAGAUAAUUUUAGUAAACAUCCUUUAUUUUGGGAUGCAUUGUGGCGUAUAAAUUUGGUAUAUCUGUAAAAGUGGAUCAGUAAGCGGGUUUUCAAUUUAGAAACUAUUUACUUCACUUAAAUAUAACCAGCCGUUUCAUACAUACUUUCCGAAAAAGUAUUUUGAUUAAAAGGUAUAAUGAUGACUCCAAGGAUUCGUUUCAUUGCAACCGUUUUGCUUGCAAUGGUGCUUUUUGUUACCCUAAUACCAGCGGCCCAGGCUUGUGCCGGCAUCAACCAGACGUGCUACACAAAUAGUGAUUGCUGCGGCGCAUUGUACUGUUCCAGAUGGCAUCGUUACCGUCGCCUCCUAAGAGCAGGGUAAAAUAAUGGAGCACAAGUUGCGGAAUUACGGCACAUACAUAUAACUUAAUUUUUUAUUAAAUUACAUUCAUGUGCUUACCUUUCAUUGGUAGUUUGUCCCAAGUAGCUGCAAUAAAUUAAAAUUUACUAUUUUCGCA